rnacentral:misc_RNA from 1 species
AUAUAACCUACACCAACAUAAAAGAAGAAUCAGCUGAUUGCUGAAAACAUUUAACAUUUUUAUGUGUGGUGUGAUGAAAACUAAAAUGUUAUCACUACCUGCAUUUAUAAAUAAACAUUGAGGUUUUCCUAAAAGUAUGAAUAGAUAAAACUUUAAAAUAUGGAAUUUGGGUGUUGGUACUUUCUCAUUUUUAAUUUAUCGUUAGUACUUAUACAUUAUGCUACAGGUUUAACAGGCACCUUACAUAAAAAUAUAAAAUACUAUGAGACUAUCCACUCUGACCAACUAACCCAUAAACUAGUCAAGAGGGGUGUCAAGGAAAGUACUCACCCUUACAAUCAAAUAAAGGAGGUGAACUUACGAACUCACGGUAGAGAUUUCCGGCUGAUUCUUUCACCAAAACGAGACAUUUUGCAUUCCAAUUUUAAAGCUUAUGCUGUAGAUGGUGAUGGCAAGGAAACAAGUGUUCAUAUAAAUCGUGAUGAUUUCUAUCAUGGAAGAAUGUUUGGAGAAACAGAUUCACAUGUUAGUAUGCACAUGGAUGAUGGUAUGUUAACUGGUAGCAUACAUCUACCUGAUGAGACAUUUCACAUAGAACCAUCUUGGAGACAUUUGCCUCAUUUUAAUAACCGAACGAUGAUUGUUUACAAACAGUCUGAUAUUAAAUUUAGUUGGGACGCUCAAGAAUCUCCUGAACACCCACCGAGACACAAGGUUUGUGAUUAUGUUAAAGAAGGUGCUGAACUAGAGAGUGACGAAGAUAUUGUAGAUGAAGAUGAAGAGCUUGAGAAGCAUAUAAGGGAAAAGAGACAGAUCGACCAAUAUGAGUACACUCCAACCAAGACUAGAUGCCCUCUACUACUUGUAGCUGAUUACAGAUUUUUCCAAGAGAUGGGUGGGAGUAAUACUAAAACCACUAUAAAUUAUUUAAUUAGCCUUAUUGAUCGUGUUCACAAAAUAUACAAUGACACGAGUUGGCAAGACCGACAAGAAGUAGACGGCUUCAAAGGUAUGGGAUUUGUAAUUAAGAAAAUUGUUGUUCACAGUGAUCCGACUCGAAUAAAAUCUGGCGAAGCUCACUAUAAUAUGUUUAGAGAUAAGUGGGAUGUCAGAAAUUUACUAGAGAGUACUUUAAAAACGGCUACACGUUGUACUUAAACUCUGGUCUUAGCUCCAGUAGAAAUCACUACGGUCAAAGAGUUAUUACCAGAGAAGCUGAUUUGGUAACUGCCCACGAAUUUGGGCAUAACUGGGGAUCAGAACACGACCCCGAUAUCCCAGAAUGUUCUCCGAGUGCUAGUCAAGGGGGCUCCUAUCUUAUGUAUACUUAUAGUGUUAGCGGAUACGAUGUAAAUAAUAAAAAAUUUUCCCCAUGUAGUUUAAGAUCUAUCAGAAAGGUUCUGCAGGCUAAGUCUGGCAAGUGCUUCUCAGAACCCGAAGAAAGUUUCUGUGGUAAUCUAAGAGUUGAAGGAGAUGAAGAAUGCGAUGCCGGUCUAUUAGGAACCGAAGAUAAUGACGCG